UUUUUUUUUGGUGUUUUUUUUUCGCUCAGGACGAACGCUGGCGGCGUGCCUAAUACAUGCAAGUCGAACGAAACUUUCUUACACCGAAUGCUUGCAUUCACCGUAAGAAGUUGAGUGGCGGACGGGUGAGUAACACGUGGGUAACCUGCCUAAAAGAAGGGGAUAACACUUGGAAACAGGUGCUAAUACCGUAUAUCUCUAAGGAUCGCAUGAUCCUUAGAUGAAAGAUGGUUCUGCUAUCGCUUUUAGAUGGACCCGCGGCGUAUUAACUAGUUGGUGGGGUAACGGCCUACCAAGGUGAUGAUACGUAGCCGAACUGAGAGGUUGAUCGGCCACAUUGGGACUGAGACACGGCCCAAACUCCUACGGGAGGCAGCAGUAGGGAAUCUUCCACAAUGGACGCAAGUCUGAUGGAGCAACGCCGCGUGAGUGAAGAAGGUCUUCGGAUCGUAAAACUCUGUUGUUAGAGAAGAACACGAGUGAGAGUAACUGUUCAUUCGAUGACGGUAUCUAACCAGCAAGUCACGGCUAACUACGUGCCAGCAGCCGCGGUAAUACGUAGGUGGCAAGCGUUGUCCGGAUUUAUUGGGCGUAAAGGGAACGCAGGCGGUCUUUUAAGUCUGAUGUGAAAGCCUUCGGCUUAACCGGAGUAGUGCAUUGGAAACUGGAAGACUUGAGUGCAGAAGAGGAGAGUGGAACUCCAUGUGUAGCGGUGAAAUGCGUAGAUAUAUGGAAGAACACCAGUGGCGAAAGCGGCUCUCUGGUCUGUAACUGACGCUGAGUUCGAAAGGACGGG
rnacentral:rRNA from 2 species